CACCUCUCGACCAUCUCCACCCACUCACCGCUGGCAGCGGCGCCCGGCCAGCCGCCCAGCUCCGGUCCCGACCCUUUACUUUCGCUCGACUACCCGCCGGGCCGGCCCAUCACACCGUUCGUCGCUCGCUCGUACGCCAUGGCGGAAGCCUCUUCGCCGUCGUCGUCGCCGCUGCGCGUCCCGCCGCAGCGGGCCGUGGCACUCGUCGCCGCGCUCCUCGUGCUCGUGCUCCUCCGCGCGCCGUGCGGCGGCGCCAUCAGGCCGGUGCGCGAGGGGGCGAGUAACGGUGGCGCCGCUACUGUUGCGCGGGCGCAGGACGGCGGUCACCGCCACCGGGCAGCGAGUACGACGGUCGGCGGCCGCGCUCACACCCCGCCGUCCGGCCCGUCGUGGAACCACAACUGAGCCGAGCGUACGGUGCUCGUCGUCGUACGUCCAGCGCGUGCGCUCGGGUCGGAUCGAGCUCCCCUCGCCGCCGAGCCGAUCGUCAAGGUUCACGGCCGGUCGGCUGUCCGUGUCCGGCCUGGAGCGUAAAAAACAAAAAGUUUCCCGUUCAUCCUUUUCCUAGCUCACGUGGUCCGUUCCAAAUUAUAGUUCGUCUCGGUUUAUUUACGAAUUCAAAGCAUCUCAUCUCAGGUUCGGUCGCAGUCGCAGCAUUGUUUUCGUGACACCGACACAGUCCACCUGCCCCCACCGAGGUUGUUCAUCGUCGAGCAGAGCAGCAUAUCCGAUAAUCCAAUGCUAGACGAAGCAGCACAUUAUUUAAAUUAUU
rnacentral:misc_RNA from 1 species